rnacentral:rRNA from 1 species
AGUAACGCGUGAGUAACCUGCCUCAUACAACGGGAUACCUGAGGGAAACUUCAGUUAAUACGGUAUAAGACCACACUGCCGCAUGGCAGAGGGGUAAAAGGAGCAAUCCGGUAUGAGAUGGACUCGCGUCGCAUUAGCUAGUUGGUGAGGUAACGGCCCACCAAGGCGACGAUGCGUAGCCGACCUGAGAGGGUGAUCGGCCACAUUGGGACUGAGAUACGGCCCAGACUCCUACGGGAGGCAGCAG